AGGCGAUUAGUUUAAGAAAAACAUUUGAUUUCGGCUCAAAAGCUCGUGGUUAAAGUCCACCUUCGCCUA